CUGCGAAUGGCUCAUUAUAUAAGUUAUCGUUUAUUUGAUAGUACCUUACUACUUGGAUAACCGUGGUAAUUCUAGAGCUAAUACAUGCUAAAAAUCCCGACUUUGGAAGGGAUGUAUUUAUUAGAUUAAAAACCAAUGCCCUCUGGGCUCUCUGGUGAUUCAUAAUAACUUCUCGAAUCGCAUGGCCUUGCGCCGGCGAUGGUUCAUUCAAAUUUCUUCCCUAUCAACUUUCGAUGUUUGGGUAGUGGCCAAACAUGGUUGCAACGGGUAACGGAGGGUUAGGGCUCGACCCCGGAGAAGGAGCCUGAGAAACGGCUACUACAUCCAAGGAAGGCAGCAGGCGCGCAAAUUACCCAAUCCCGAUUCGGGGAGGUAGUGACAAUAAAUACUGAUACAGGGCUCUUUUGGGUCUUGUAAUUGGAAUGAGUACAAUUUAAAUCCCUUAACGAGGAACAAUUGGAGGGCAAGUCUGGUGCCAGCAGCCGCGGUAAUUCCAGCUCCAAUAGCGUAUAUUAAAGUUGUUGUGGUUAAAAAGCUCGUAGUUGAACCUUGGGCCUGGCUGGUCGGUCCGCCUCACCGCGUGUACUGGUCCGGCCGGGCCUUUCCCUCUGUGGAACCCCAUGCCCUUCACUGGGUGUGGCGGGGAAACAGGACUUUUACUUUGAAAAAAUUAGAGUGCUCCAGGCAGGCCUAUGCUCGAAUACAUUAGCAUGGAAUAAUGAAAUAGGACGUGCGGUUCUAUUUUGUUGGUUUCUAGGACCGCCGUAAUGAUUAAUAGGGACAGUCGGGGGCAUCAGUAUUCAAUUGUCAGAGGUGAAAUUCUUGGAUUUAUUGAAGACUAACUACUGCGAAAGCAUUUGCCAAGGAUGUUUUCAUUAAUCAGGAACGAAAGUUAGGGGAUCGAAGACGAUCAGAUACCGUCGUAGUCUUAACCAUAAACUAUGCCGACUAGGGAUCGGACGAUGUUAUUUUUUUGACUCGUUCGGCACCUUACGAGAAAU
rnacentral:rRNA from 1 species